rnacentral:rRNA from 1 species
CGCGUAGGCGGUUUGUUUAGUUAGGUGUGAAAUUCCUGGGCUUAACCUGGGGACUGCGCUUAAUACAGGCAGACUUGAGUUCGGAAGAGGGUCGUGGAAUUCCCAGUGUAGAGGUGAAAUUCGUAGAUAUUGGGAAGAACACCGGUGGCGAAGGCGGCGACCUGGUCCGAUACUGACGCUGAGGCGCGAAAGCGUGGGGAGCAAACA